GAGAGUGUAGCUCAGUGGCAGAGUGUGUGCUUAGCAUGCAUGAGGUCCUAGGUUCAAUCCCCAGUACUGUCA
rnacentral:tRNA from 1 species